AAAACAAGAAAGAGAGAAACCAUGUUGGGGGGAAAUGAGAAUCUAUUAUUAGUUUACUUUGUAAUAGUGACAGUUAAAACGGUUACUAUAAGUUGUGGGGGAAAACAAUAAGUUAUUUUGUGACACUUCAAUUAAUUGGAGUUUUUAGUACUAGAUAAAUCAAAUUAACUACAUUAUAUAAAUAUGGUAUAAAACAUAAUUUAGUUAGAAUAAAUUUGCUGUCAUGUUUUUUUUUUCACUUACAUAUUG
rnacentral:lncRNA from 1 species